AUUGAACGCUGGCGGCAGGCCUAACACAUGCAAGUCGAGCGGACACAGGAAACAGUUUCCUGUUUCGCUGUCGCGUGGCGGACGGGAGUGUAAUGUCUGGGACACUGCUUGAUGGAGGGGGUAAACUACUGGAACCGGUGGCUAAUACCGCAUAUCGUUGGAAGCCCAUGGAUCGGGAGUCACGGGCCUCUUUCCAUCGGCUGUGCCCAGAUGGGAUUAGCUUGUUGGUAGGGUAACGGCUUACCAAGGCGACGAUCCCUAGCUGGUCUGAGAGGAUGAUCAGCCACACUGGAACUGAGACACGGUCCAGACUCCUACGGGAGGCAGCAGUGGGGAAUAUUGCGCAAUGGGCGAAAGCCUGAUGGAGCCAUGCCGCGUGUGUGAAGAAGGUCUUCGGAUCGUAAAGUACUGUCAGUAGGGAGGAAGGGAGGUAAGUUUAUACCUGCACUUAUUGACGGUACCCACAGAAGAAGCACCGGCUAACUCCGUG
rnacentral:rRNA from 1 species